CUGCUGUCGGAGGCUAGGAGGACAGUGUGGCCAGUGCACCUAUUGUGUCACUGCUGUAGAAAGCAGCUUAGCGAUUGGCCACUGUCUGCAGCACAUAAUACUGACUGGUUAUAAAGGACUUGUCUAGAGGAAAGCCUGUAGGUACUCCAUUGUCUGGCAAAGUUGAUAUGACUGCAUUCUUUUUGCAGGGGGUCAGACAGCUGAACUGUAAAAGCUGCACAGAUUUUUUUUUUUUUUUUUUUGUCUUCUUCCUCUGUCUCUCUGUCUCUGUCUCUUCCAUACAGCAUUUUUCUUUCAUGCCCUGUCUCAGUUUGCAUAGUUAAAGAGAAUGCUAAUUAAGAUCCCUUGCCUUAACCUGAAAAUAGUGACUUGGAUGUAAAUAGAAAACUGACGAUAGUUUAAAAUAUUCUUGCGUAGCACCAAGAUAUCAGUUACCAUCCUAGGGGAAAAAAGGAAGAAUUAUUUUUUUUGUAAUCAAGGUAAACAAAGAAGAGUUGUUGCUUCUCUUUAUUCCUUUCUUUCGUUCUUUCCUUUUUUUUUCCUUUUUUCUUUUAUUUUUUUUAAACCAAUGAUGCUAUACUAUUGCAAGUCAGAUAAUAUUUUAUUUCAGAAAGCGUGCUAGCUACAUAAUUUAAAAGUCCACAAAUCAGUUGCAAUUUAGUGCUUAUUAAUCCUUCUUAGGAUGUAAUUCGGUGAAAGAACUGCUUUAAAAAAAAUUCUUUUCUGUAUUAUAGACGGAUCUAACAACGCAGUCUGGGCUCCGUGCCAAAGGCUGGUAUUUCACAGCAGCGACCGCCUUACAGAUGAGCUGUGGGAAGCAGGAGGGAGACUCUCUUAGGGUGCCACUACUAUGGAGACACAGCUGGGCUGAACAAGAUUUGCUUCAAACGACAACAAGAGAGACAGAAAGAGUCUGGUUCGACCGCUGCCCAAGCAGGCAGUAACCAGAAGAGCUAGCAGCCAAUCCGGCCAUGCUGCACUGUUCGAAACCAGCUCUACAUCCCAGCCAAUCAGUGACAUCACUGGACUGGAAAGAAACAAUUUCAAUAGAUGUCAGCUUCUGUGGUCUGUGAUGCUCCACUCUGAGUGAUGCCACGUUCAGCACUGAGUAGGAGCGGCAGAGGAGAGAGGCUUCUCAGGAUGAGGUGUACAGCUGCCAUUCCAGGUGUACAGCUGCCAUUCCAUCUCACUGCAGGACUGUGUUUGCUGCUCCACAAGCUGCAGGUUUCUUUUACAAUGUGUUCUGCUCCAGCUAGUGAAUUUUGUUUAACUGACCAGUGAAAGAAAAAUUAAAAUGAAAAAGGAAAAUGAAGAAGUUCAUGAUACCAGAUUUCAGCGAAGUCUGAAGAUUUCAACUAUGCUCUGCCCUGCAUUGAGAGUGAGAAGAAAAUGAAUCGUUAGACACCCCUGCCUGGCGUAUUUGGUGCUCCAGCAAAAGUCGUGAAUACGCAGUCCUGCCUCUGCAUUCCUGCUUGAACUGGGAUGACUCCAGUGGCUCUGCUCUGCCCAUCAUACUCACUGCUGCCCCUUGCCAUAGUGAUGGGAAAGUUGGUGCACUGCCUGCCUCUUUUCCUGCUCCCUCUUCUUCCCCAGUCUCAGAACAGCCAGCCCAGCCUCAGGUACACAGGUAGGGCAGAGGUGGAUGGAGGGGAGGGCAGAAUUUCACUCAGGCAGAAUUUCCACCAAGAUCAACAACGUGUUUCUGUGUCCUGGAACUAUGUGACAACACCUACAGAGACCAUGCAGGAAGCAGUCCCAUUUACCCAAUGACAGUAUAUGAAAGCUGUCUCUAUUAGCACAAAUAAAUAGAAAGCAUAAUCUUCAGUAUGCUAUGCUUAGAUAUAUGUGCAGAAUUUUGAUACAUUUCUAUAUAUAGGAAUCAUAUAUUUCUAUACAACUUGAUGUUGUUUCAGUGCAAAAAGCAUUUAAAUGCUCUUUAAUAAGUGAUUUCAGAGUAAUCAGCUUGUGCUACAACAAAAACAAAAAACAAAAACACAAGCUCUUGCAAAGGGGGAGGAAGAGAGAGAGAGAGAGAGUGAAAAAGAUGUGUGGUGCAUACAAAAAAGGACUGAUAUUAACAAUUCGAUGGGUUCCUAGUUGGUAGAGCAGACUGAGCCAGACGCAUACAUUAGCGGCUGUCUGCUGCUGAUGGGAGCCUGCUCAAUGCGGUGGAAAUGAAGGAUCACCUAGGCGCUGACACCAGCUUAUUUGUACGUUUUAAUUUUAAAAAGGAAAAUCACUGUUUCACAUAAACAUCUUAACCCCUACAUGAUUUUUUUUUCUUUUUUCCUCCCUCAUAUUGUUCGCUAAUUUACUGUCAAUUUAAAGUGCUGUUUAGCUAUAGCCCAACAAAACAUCAGUCAAAAAAUAGAGGGAAGUAUUAGCUUCUCUUUUGUCUGCCAUGUACAAUUGAGUUAUUAUUAUGAUAAUUGUCUACUUUAAUUUUUAGUCUUCAUUGGAGAUGCAACAAUUUUCUGGAGCUUCAUUUUUGAGGCAUUUUAAGUUUCAGAAAUAUACCAUUUAAUCUUUCAGCCAAACAAUGCAAAAAAAAAAACCUCAUAGCUCAAGCUGGCGUGAUUUGAUAAAUUCUUUUCAUUAACCUGAAAGCCUUUAGCACCUUUGUAUAGUAUUACAUAUAUGGGACAAGAUUUCUUUUCCAACCAUAUAAACUCUAAGAUCCAUUAAUACAGUGUUGAAGACUGCUACACGAGUCAAGGGAAUUCCAAUCCAAGUUAAUUACUGUUGGAAUUAGAGGGAAGAAUAUUUUACUUGAAGUUGUAUAACAAGAAUCUACACUUAUCACAUUUCAGGGCAUUGCUCUAUUCACUUGAUGAAAAAUGUCAAUGAGGUUUAACAGAAGAUGUUCUGCAUUUCCGUGGGUAACGAAAAUCAGCACAUCCACGAUAAGCUAACACAACAUUUUCAGUGUGUUAAUAUGCAGUGCAGCAGAAAUUUCUGUAGGCAGUAAAUGUAGCCGUCAUUUUGAUUCACCCGUGUGAUGAUUAUGCUCAAUUCCUGACUAGGUACAUAAUUUCACACUGAAAAGCAGUCAUCUCCUCUAAGGGACCAACUGUAGCCUACAAAAAAAAAAAAAAAAAAACCCAUAAAAAAAAAAAAGAAAGAAUGACUGCCAUCUCAGUCUAAAGUCUAUAACUAGCUAGAUAGUCACACAAUAGAAAAAAUAGAUCUGUAAUACUAUAAAAAUGCCAGCUGAAACUGUAUCACUCAAUUAAAAGUUGAUUUGUUUUACUACAUUAAUUUAAAGUGGUUUUGUCCAAACAAUGUAUCUGAGGCAUUCAUCACCUUGUUAAGUUUUUUCAUUGUUUGACAAUUACAAUAGGCAUCUUCCAAGUUUGUUGGAUGCUGUGUUGCUGCACUGCUUGGCAACACUAGGAUGAUUCUUAUGAGGAGUUAUAUUCUGACCAGAAUCCAGCUCAAUUGAUUGAUGAGCUUCACUUGCAGUGCCUGGGUAGCAACAAGUGGAUGGAAGCCUUAGAGAGCAAUUGAACAUCAGAUUAAUAAAAUCAACACUGAUAAAAUUAUGUCAUCCUUAAAAACAUCUUUAACCUAUUAAGUAGGAUUUAAAAUUAAUCGCAGAAACUUCCAGUUGACUGUAGACUAAAGUUUAUUUGGUAGGCUUUCAGAAUUUCAAUCUUUAUGCCUGUUCCUACUUAUUUAGGAGUUAAGGAUUAGGUGUAAUUGUGGGAUAAACUAGAUUUGGUAAUGAUAGUUUGAGCAAUAUGAGUAUUCUAUAGGAAACAAAGCUGACAAUAUUCUGUACUUUUCUUUUACUUGUUAGCUGUUGCACUGGGGCCGUGAUUCUCUACAAAGAAGCAUGUUCAUUUAUUUAAAUGGCCAAGCAAAUCAACAAGGUUGUGCUGAGUAGUUUAGGGCUGGUAAUUUUGGUUUUGGUUUUGGGUGGUUUUCUUCCACCACCACCACCCCCAACUUCUUUUCUUGGAUGUGUACGUGUCAUGCAUGGGAAGGUAUGAAGGAAAAACAGCUAUUCAGCAGAGACACGUCCCACCCCUUUAAUUAAGCUUUUCCUGGACUAUGUAAAAACACUGGCAAUGUGUAAAUCCCAUUUGUGUUUUUGUUAUUAUUAUUUUAAGAGAUUCCUAAAUAUUAUAUUAAGAUACCUCAGUGAUGAAAUACACAUGAAAAUAGCUGCAUUAGUAAGUCACUUGAUAUCAAAAGGGUUGGAUGGCAUCGGCACAGAGCCAACUGGAAGAUUUUAUUUUUCAUUUAAUUCCUUUCACCUAGUAGUCUCCCUUAGCAUUAGGCAGAAUCCAGUAUGUGGCUAAGUUAUUACUCUAGUGUUCAUCACACAAAAAGCACAGUCUUAGCAUUUGUAAAUUUUCUUCAGGGAGGUUUCUAAUCUAGACAGCAUUUGCUUUUGGGGAUUACACCACAGUCUGUUCCCCACCACCUCCCCCUCUAACAUGCAGCCCUUUCAACUUCUUCAAAGAAGUGCGGAAAAGUAGGUUCUUUUAUUAAUAGCAGAAAACAAACCGACUGCUGGACUUCCGUGGCAGAGCUCACAUAAUGCGGCAGGGUGGGAACUGUAACAAAGAAUGCUUGAAUGCACUAAACGUAUAGUGAAGCCCCAUUUACAUUCACUGAUGGGGCUUAAAGUACAAUAAAUGAGAAGUUUAAAGUAGAAAUAAGCAGGGGUAUGAAAAGACUUCAGUGAAGGUAGAUAUUUCUUGAAAAGUUUAGCACAGGAUUUAAUUUCAAACUCAAGCCUUUCCUAGUAGAAUGCAUUUCUUCAUAGUGCAUCCCUUUGCUUGAAGCAUUUCCAUCCGAUGACAAUAAAUUAGAUGGAGUGCCUCCAAUGCAUAAAGAAGUAGAUUCUGUUUAUCCAGUUUAUAUCUGCUCUGCAAACUCCCUUUGAAGUGUAUGGGGAAAAUUUUGUGUCUUGAAAAAUCUGAUUGUGGGAUCCUCUCACUCUAGUACUAAAAUGUUUCUGUCCACAUGGGUGUAGGUACACCAGAGAAUUGGACAAGGUAGUUGAUUUUCUUCUGCCAAAGUUAUUCUGUGAAAUAGAAUCUUACGAGUGAGUAAGUAUUAAUAAAAAUAACCUCUCUGCUUCUUCUCUUCAUCUCUUUGUUUCAGCCCCUUCCGUAGCCCUACUGUAAGGCUCUACAAGAAGCAGGCUUUGUUCUCCUAGGAGUUUAAAUCAGCCUUUCUCCCACUGUUUGCAUUUCUCUCCACAGUGGUUCUUCAUCCUGAACAUGAAGGACGUAUAAAUUGCCUCUACUUGUACAUUUUUGCAGACUCUGCAUUUCCUCCCUUGGCCCCAUUCAAAAACAACCAGCAGUCAGACAUAAGAUAUUAGGCUGUUGGUUGCAGUUUUCAAAAAAAAGAUCUUUUUUAUCCUUUUCUUUUGAAGAAUGGCAUGAUAGUCCUGAUCUCUGCACAAUCAGAAUGGAGGUUCAUUUAUGGAACAUCAGAAUAAACAACUGUGAUUUGGGAAAAGCAGGCUAUGGGAUAAUUUUCUGCUCCUCUGUUCAGCAGAGGUAGCUUCUGCCUAAUCCAGGCACUGCACCUGUCCCUUCCUAUGGCAUGGUGUCCCAGCAGCACAGGAAUCAGCAUUCAGCAAACCCGGCACAUGAGAUGGCCGGUACAGCCAUUUUGUGGUGGGAUUUAUAGCUUUCCACUGCAAGCACAGGGUUCAUCCCUCUGUUGGGAAGAUUUGUCACAAGUCUGAGGAUACACAGUGCUUAUAGUUCUUGCUGAUGUUAUUUAUAUACACACACUGGGGUAUUCAGGGAGCUAGAUUUAUUGUGACAUUUUAAAUAAACAUAGUAGACCGUGCUUUUCUGUUGUUUAUUAUGUUGGCAUAUUAUUUUGGAUCUUAAUUCUCAAACUUAUGUCUCCUUUUGAAAUAGAGGAGUAUGGUCAAAAUAUUGAUGUUUUAAGACCCAUUGAGGCACCUGAUUUUUAAACAAUGACUGGAUGUUUAGAAGUGAAGCAGGUUAGCAGUGCAGCAUUGGAAACCUCUCCUGGCUGACUCAGAGGGUUAGAUUUCUUGUGGGUGUUGCCAGUAUCUGAGUGUUGAGUUUUGGUAGGCUUUUAUGAGUUAAUAAAUUCCAAGGACUGCAGCUUGGCUUUCUGAAAUUUGGUAAUCAUUCCCUAAAUGCUAGUGGGAAAUCAAAAUUACUACAUGCAAUAACUAACACUUUAAAGCCCUUUGAAAUGUUUCCAAACUGCUGCCUACGUGCUCCUUUUUGCUGCAUCGAUGGCUAAAGAUUUAGGGUCACUUCCUGGCACCCAUCAUGAAUGCAGACAAGUUCCCUUGAGCCUUUACUUUCCUUCCCUGCCAUUUUCCCAUGCUGUCAGGGUAGGCUGUGGCUUUUUCACGUGGGGAACACCACUCACUAAUGGGAGCACAGUGACUGUCACAGGGAGACCUUGAGUAUUAUUAGAGCUCUGAGACCUCAGUAUAAAGCAAAUAUUAGCAAAGCAGGAGGUCAUGAUUUAGUGUGGCAGUGUGAGGCAAUAUUUUAUAAAUUUCUUUUACCACCUUGUUUCUGCUGUUUGUCCUUCAGUUGUUGACAGUAACUUAUUGCAGUGUUUGAAAAGAGAGGGUUGCAUCUGAACUAGCUGUGGGAUCUCAGAUCCCAAUAUUCAACUUGUCUCCAUUGAAACUCUUCAGACUAGUUUUGAUAUGCACAUUUACUUCUUUCAGAUUGAUAUUUUUAAUGGUCCAAAUGAUCUUCUGCAAAAGCAAAUAAGAAAAAAAUGGAAAGGAGGAGCUCCACAGAGAGUCCCUGGCUCAUCAUUAUUGUAUAAAUCAGUCUAAUGUAUGUGUCUCAAUUCUGUGUGAUUUUACCAUGGUGAAAAAAAUCCUUCAGCUUGGAUUACAAAAUGACAGCAGAACUUAAUACCUGCAGUAGUCUUCUGAGAGGACUUAAAUGUUCUUCUGUUUGUGGUAAAACCUGUGGAUGAAUGCCACCCAUGAAUGCCAUGGAUGCCUUCCUAUAUGCUGUCUGCUUCCAGAUACCAUGUGCCAUUCACUAGACCAGGAAACUUGGUACUACUUGCACCUAACAUGGGCUAGGCUAGAAAUACAUCCAGGCAUCUCCUUCUUUCUUUCCCUCCUUUUCCCUCCCCUUGCUCUCCUCCCCUCCCUCCUCCCACACACACAGAAAUAUCCUGUCCUCUGCCAAGGCAAACUCAAUCAUCCAGUCUGACUUCCUCCAUAAAACAUGCCAAAGCAUUCACCAAGCAACUCCCACGUCAACACCAACAAUUUCUGUUUGGUUAGCAUGUAUAUUUAGGAUUUGGGAUGGCAGAGAAUCCAUAAUAACGUCCUGGAACAGUCUCCCAGUAGUCUAUUACAUCAAUAUUAAAAACAUAGGCUUUAUUUCUAAUUAGAACUUGGUUAGCAUUAGUUUCCAGCUAUCUUUUUUAAUUUUCCUGACAAUAUAAAUGGUCAUUUGCUUCCUUCCCCCUCUUAGGAUUUUCAGUGAAAAACUAAUAGGAUUAUCUUCAUUGUCUUACUCUAAGAUUUUUGGGAAGAUCAGAUCAUUUUGCUUGUUCUUGUUUGAGUCUUUCCCAUUUUGUCAAUAUCUUCUGCAAAUACUAAUAGCAGAAUGAGAGAGCUGAUGUCAGGAAUAUUAGCUUGCUAGUAUUCUUCUUUUGUUUGACUUACUCAUUUAUCUUGUUUAUUCUCUUCUUUGCUUCACUAUACUGAGAUCACAAGCAUAGCUAAAGGAAUAAAGAGAGAAAAUGAUUUGGAAAAGUCUUUUUUUAGGUAUUUAAAAGCUCCCAAUUCCAGUUAAAAUUAGUAGGAGUUUAUCACCUAAACUGUUAAGUACUUCUGUUGCCAUUAUUUAGGAAAAACCUUAUGUCAAUGGGAGAAAUAACAGAAUUAACUUAUCGGUGUUUGAGUAAUUAUUAACCAGGUAGGUUUUGACCUCCAUUAAUCUAUUUAUUGAAUAAAUUGUGUUUAAUUUCAGAAGGAAAUGACAGCAGCUGUAUUAUUCUUAUUAUUUGAAAGCUUGCUUAGUUUCAGCAUAUUCUGUGCUUCUUGUAUGCUCGAGUUACAGAAAUAGAUCCUACAGAUGGAUUAAAACAUACCCAUGUGUUGAAGCCAGGCAAUCAGUCUCACAUUUACAGGUAUCCAUCCAAACAGCUGGGAUAUAGCUAGCUAAAGGAUUAUUUUUAAUAUGUUUCUCCAAAAUUCUGUAACCUAGUCCCUUCACAAGGCUUAUUUGUCUGAUCUCAGUAAAUCUGCAAGCCUAUACAUUUUAUCAUUUUCCUAUCAUGUGUUUGGGGAGGAGGGAUGGGGGGAAGACUGAUCUUAGAUAAGCAAUGCAAGUUGGUUAAGAAAGGAGGAAGCUGUCAUCUGUAGCCUUUCCAGACACAGCAGUACAGUUCCAGACAGUCACCUGAGUAUUAUUGCUCUGCCUCAACUAUAAAUCACAGUCUGGUAAUGGCCAGAGCUGACACCCUGACAUUUUCAAGAAGAGUAAAAGACCUGAUUUGAAUGGAAAUCAAUUUCAUUUCACAAAUCUUGGGAUACUCCAAAUAUGGUCUUGUUCUUUUUUUGUGUGUGUGUCUUAUUCAGAAUUUCCAUUAUUUUGUUGGAGGAUUAGUUGCUCUAUACAAUGACUCUGGUUUCCCACAUAAAGUUUAAAAUUACAGAAAUACAUGUGUGUGCAGUGCAUCACAGGACCUGGUACCACUGCGAAAGUAACCACCUUUUCUGACAGCCUGCUGAGGGUGAUGGGCACAGCUCUUUUUUCCCACCUCCAAAUAGAGUAGCUGUCCUGCACUGGAAGGAUGAAAAGGCAAGCUCAGAGCAUGCGAUGUCACAGGUCUGCUCUCUUCACGUGAAUUCCCAUGGGGUGCUCCAAAGUGACAGUAUUGGCAGUAUUGGCAAAACAGGACUUCCCAUUGUGCAAUAAAUUUUCUUGCUUGUAACAGCCUUUCUGUAGCAAAAAUGGCCCAGAAAUUCUAAAAAUUUCAGCUGCAUUGUUUAUUAUUUGAAGAGAUAAAAUUUUUAUUAUUUGAAGAGACAAAAGUAAACCCCAAGCAAAUUGAAUAAAGUGGCUUUUUCUACUUUGAUUUUAUUUUUUUUUCUUUUGCCUGGGUGGUAAGAAUGCACUGUAAAGACAAUUUAGACAAGGGAGGGGAAUGAGCUUAGUGACUGUAGUACCCAUGGAACUGCUGCACUAACAAAUGUAAGUAAAUAUGAUCCCAAGCGUCCUUCACUCUGACUGCUCUGAUACAUAGCACAAAACCCCUUUUGGAGCAAAGCCACUGACCAAGGUGAAGGUUUUGAGGUGGCAUCAGACCUCCAGUGACUGAAGGUCCAAAACUGAGCCUGAAAUGUUCUUUCCAAUAGUUUCACAAGGACCUAUCAUGAUCUGCAAAAUUUCAGUAUUCUUACAUGGCAAAACAAAAUCAUCUAGAGGACACUGGUUAAAAAAAGGAAGGUGGUGUAAGGUAAUGCAUGUGUGAGAAUCUAAGCCAGUGAGUAAGCUGUGCCUAAAUUUGCCAACAGAUGCAUUCCUGUGUGAAACUGAGAAAGGAAAAGCAUCCUUAGCAUACAGAGGAUUAAAAAUAUCUGAUGGCCAUUCCAUGUUUAAGCCCCUUAAACAGGAUAGAGUGAAACACGUUGUGGUAUCUAUAGCAACAGGUGUGAAAUCAAAAGUAAGGAUUUUUCUCUCUUUGUGCGUCUCUUGCCUGCUGCACAGUAUUCCUGGAAAACCUGUAAGAAGCUCAUUAAAACCAUGCAUAUAUAACACAGACCCAGUGCAUCAAAUGACUUCCAAAGGCCUUAGCUAUGUGCUGUGUCUAGACACUGUCCGUGGGCUUUAUCAAAGCACAUCUUGAUAAAACACAUCUGGUGUGGAGAGAAAUGCUAACAAUCUAGCAAAUUGCUAGCAUUUAGCCCAGAAUCCUUUUCCUCUGACAAUAGCCACUAGGACAUGCCCAAGGAAAAGGAUAAGAUCAGGACAAGUAAAGUGAUACUUCUCUGUUGUGGUUUGGGGUUUUUUUGCCUGUCUCCUGUGGAAUUCAAUACAGUGACUAAUAGCUGGUACCAACCUAUUUAAGCACCCUUGGCACAAUUUUUCUUUUUUUUUUGUGCAUGUGUUAAUUACUUCUGCUUUAAUUUUCUGAAUCUUUUUGGUGUGAUAACAAUGAUUACAAAUAUCCUUGAUUACAAAUAUCUCUAUGUUCUGCAGAUUCAAUUGCAUCCAAGGAAGACUAAGAAAAUGUCAGAGCCGUGUGUAAGAGGUUUGCAUGGUUUUCCAAGGUGCAGUGCCCCUGUGUAACCUGCAUCAUUAUGCUCACCUAAUUUGUCACCAAGUGUUUUCUUGUCAGGGAGAAUUUCUAAUGUUUAGUCAUAUGACAGAUUUUACCUGGGGCCAAAGUUUUUUUCUGAUACAUGUAGCCUAUUGGCAAACUUCUCCAGCCACACACUGUUCUGUACAAUGGAGAGAUUUAAAGGAGGAUUAAAUCAGAACUGUGACAUUUGGCGCUGUGAUGUUCUGAUGGCUGUUUUUAUCAGUUUAAAGCAUGUCCUGGAAGACAGAGACAUCUCCCAACCUUGUAGUUUCCAUAAAGGAAUGAUUUUGCCUUGUUAAAGUCAAGGGGAACCUUUGGCUUUGGCUGCUAAGAUGUCACCAUCAAAUUUAAACAUUUUGAAGAUAUUGGCUACCAUCCUUACAAGAAACUUACUCAAAACUACUUCCACUCUCUGAAAGCUCCAUACUAUGAGCUGAAUCCUUCUGUGAUUAACAUAUUCCCAAAUUACAUGGGGGAUAGUGUAAUGAGCCCUGGAAAGCAUUUCCCUUGUCAGAACAUCAUGUCUACCAACUCAUGGGUUUUAAGGACAAGAUGAGAAGUUUAUAUUGAAUACUACUGCGCCAAAGUAGAAUUCUAGCUCUGGAAAAAGAGUCUAAACUGUCUAUAUUCCAAGACUGAAAGGUUCUGUUUAGACUGAACCAAAGAAAUAUAAUAUUUAGCUGCUUUGCUCAGGAUCUAAAAACUGCAACAAAAAUAGAAACAAAUCAAGUGGCCUCACUGUGUAUCAUUUAACAUGAUGCAAACUAUCUUGGCGUAUUUUUUAAUGGAACAUGAGUUUAAAUAUUAACUGCUUAGUUUAAACAGUGAUUUUAGCUUUUAAUAUAACAGCUUUAUUGGAUGAUUUAUGUCAACUAUAUGUGAUUUUUUAAAGUAACUAUAGCAUCACAAUUUGUAAACUGUAUGGUAUUACUAAAGACUCUACCUGAAGUAAUUCACAAUUCUCACUUUUUAAUAUAGUGAUUGAGUUCACAUUUCUAGAACAAAAUUUAGCAUCUAAUAGUAAGUGCUUGUUUUAGGGGGAUUAGAUCAAGUACACUCUGCAGUACAAUGCCAGUAUAUUAAGGCAUAUUACAACCCAGCUGAUGAGACAAAUCAAAAUGGAUUCAUGAGGUUAUUUGGUAUUUCUUUCAGGCCUGACUAAAAUUUAGUGCUUGGGACUUAGGAGAAGCCAUAAGUCAUUAUAAAUAUUUAGAAAAUAUAAAGUUACAGCUGCCACUUGCUUUAGGGUAUCCUACUGGGUCUCCCAAAGAUGUCAAGUCCACUGGAACUGUGUGACAUAUCCACCAGCCUGACAUUGAUGUCUCAGAUGCUUCAAGUCAUCACAAAAGGCAACAGACAUUUAACACAUAUGUCAAGUCCUGUGUUACCUGUCCUGUUCCAUUGUACUCAAGAACUUCACAAACUAUGUAUUUUGUUCAGAAAAUUAAAAUGCUGCCUUGAAAUACUCAGUUGUGACUUUUACUACCAGCUUUGAUUUUCUGAGUUUAUAUUUUAAGGAGGUUGGAUGCAAGCACAGAUUAAUAAAAUAUGUCAGUGGAUACUUUGUGCAGCACAGAUUUAUGAAAGCUGCAGUUUCAUACAGCUUCAUACAAGACAGCAUUUGACCACAGUUACUGCCAUAAUGGUCAGGUCAUGAUUUCUCUUUCUUUAAUUUCUUCUUUAUUUAUUUUUUAACGUUGAUGUUAAAAGGUAGACUUUUUAACCAAUAGCUGUCUGUAAUGCUUCUGCCAUUACAAAAUUGUGCUCUCAUUUUUCAUUAAUUGGUCUCUUUUUGGCCUGUUUUCAACAAAUGUCAGGACACCAACUGAGGCACACGUUUGGAUUUCAGCUGUGUAAACAUAUCGGUACUCUAGCUAACCCCUUUCAUAACGACAACAAGCAGCUUAAAGUGUACAGUCCAGGGAUUUGUUAGUGAUAAAUGUGCUGCCAACAUCCCAGGUUGGGUGGGUACCUCUUUCCUGAAAAAGCUCCAGCCCUGCUAGUGUCCCUGUCAGACUCAGAGUGAGCAGAGGCAGCUCUGCUGCACAGAGGUUCUCUAGACCCACACUGGGACUCCCCUUUGCUCCAUCCCCAGGACAAGCCCGUCUCGCCUCAGCAGAUCCCUGUAAGAGAGAGGGAAAGGGCAGUCCACUCUUUUUGGAAGUGCUAUCUCAGAAUGACUUCAGGCUCAGGUGAAAAACAAAACACAUUUCAGUGGCAAAAUCCAGACUUUUUUCCUUUUACUGUGUGUGAUGACCAGGGUCUUUUUCAUUGCAAUUUUUUAAAUAGAAGUGGAAUUUCUGUUCCCUAUGCUGAAGCAGUUAACAUUUUCUCAUUAAUUUCUCUCUUCUUUUGCUUUAUUUUCAUGCCUCUUACCUUCCUGUGAGAGUGUUCCUUGCAGAAAAGAUUCAGAGGCCUCUUUGAUAAAUUUCUCUCAAAAAUGAGUUAUCAGCUUACAUAGGUUCCUUGAAGGCUGCAAACUGGUGUAUUAAAGCAAAUUUCCAGAAGAUAUUUUCCUAAAAAUCCUUUUUAUAAUUUAAAAAGACUAAGCACUAUUUUCAGACUGAUAGAGGAGCAAGUUGCUAGCAUUUCAGAAACACAGAGAUCAGUGAAAGAAAAGCAUGAGGUCGUUCAUAUUUUCCAUGAUGUAAAUCAGGCCAAAUUAAUGACCGCCAUAAUCAGGUUUAGACCCACAGACCUUAGGAGCCCUCACACAUGCCAAGUGUCAGGCUGGCUGAUUGAAAAUAUUGCUAUGGGCAUCAUUUGAUCUGCAUUACUGCUGACAAAAACUGUGCAGGUGUAGAAAGGUCAUGCUCCACUUCUCUGUAGAUACCAGACACCUCUACUACCUCAACAGAACUACUCAUUGGAGUGGGUACUAAAGGUAAGUAUUUACAAGAUCAGGAUGCCAGUCUCAAACUAUACAGAGACAUGAAAAUCUACAUGAUGUGUUGCCUGUGGAUUUUUGUGGAGUUUAGGUUGGUUUUUUGGGUGUUUUUUGCAUAUUUUAUUUAAAAAGCUAGAAUGCCAAUAACAUGCUGUUGAAUUAACUUUCUUUUUUUUUUUUAGUUACACAUACACAGCAUUGUGAAUUGGUGAGUGAUAUGUAAGGUGUAUCACUUAUAUAUCACUUGUAGAUCUGUUUCUCCAGAAGGUGCCACAUUUAAAUUAGUAAUUUUUAUUCAGACACCAUUAUUGGUAGAGUAAGAGCUUUUUUUCCUGGAAAAGAACUGCCAAAUCUGGUCUUCAGUUGCCCAGUCAGAAGAAAGAAAGCCUGUGCACAGUAAAAAUAUAAGGACAAUAACAUUUCCUGAUCAAAUUUUGGAAAUAAUUUUGCUAUCUGAAAUCUCUGAUUUAACCAUCUGAAAUACUGCCAUUUUUUCAGAAGUCUCUUAUGCAAUUAGUAAUGGCAAGAACAUUUAGAGUCUGAAUAGCAUGCCUAUGUGAGAGCCUGAAACCAUGCAGUUUCCAGCAUCUGGGAGUGAAGUCUCACUGUUCAGCAAGCUGCUCUGAGAAGCACAGAGAGCUCUUCCAGCAAGCUGGAAACACUGAUACAGAAGUGUCAAAUAAAUAGCUUAUUUGCUUUAAUUGUACUUCUAACCAUGGUGUCUCAUUAAUGUCUCUGUCUUUAAUACACAUAAACAGGUAUAAUGUUCUUUCACAGAAUCACUGCUGAUCUUUCCAACAUCAAAUCUACAUCUCUGACCAAAAUGAACAGAGAUAGGUUUUUUGGUCCUCACAACAGUAAACAAUAUGUGCACACACAUAUAUAUGCAUAGAUAUAUGACUUUUUGAAUAUAUAUUUCAAAGCACAAUUCGAUUUUUUGUUUGGUGUGUACUUGUGUCUGAUUUGUUGUAAAUUUUCUCAGCUGUGCUGAGGGGCCUGGCAGAGCAGGGUGCUGAUGGUCUGUGUCCAUGUGCCCGGCCAGCUUGGUGAGCAAUCCAAGGAUUAUGUCUUUUGUUUUGCUACCUGAGGGGAUUCAGCUGGAAACAGCCCCAUUCUCAGCACCAGCUCUGCUUGAGGAUGCUGUGCUCAGCUCCAGUAGGAGCAUGCUGGGAGGACAGGAUUCCUCACCCCCUGGCUCCCAGGAGCAUGGUUCCAUCAGGGACAGCUGACUUAAUGUGUGUCCUUGUGUAAGGGGCCAUGCUCAGGAUGGUUUUGUGUGAGCUGUAAACUCAUGUCACCCUUAACUUCAUGUAGUUCAGACAUGGCAGUCCACAAAGCGAGAUCUUUAGUGCUUUGCUCUACUGAACUUUUCCCUUGUCUGUAAUGGAUUGUGGAUGGAAGAGGGAGGAGGGGAACGUGGCAGGGAAAAGCAAGGGUUUGAUUGGCAUGCAGUGAUUUUGGACUAGCAGGAAGCAGGCGGCUCUGCUCUCCAGCCCCCACAUACUUCUCAGCCCAUGUGUGUUGAGGGGGGAAAGAAACCGAUAUUGUUCCCUCUAAAAUGAAUUCCCAGUUAGCCAGUUAUUCCUGGUUUUUAGCUCAGAGCACACUGUAAUUGCAUUUUUCAUUUCAGUAAUUAUAGAGGAUAUUAAAGUGGAUAGACAGUUGUAGCAAUCUGGCUCUUUAGACAUAUCUACUUGUCCAAGAUCAAAUGGCUACAGCAUAUUCAGGGUUACAGUCUCCUUCUUUUCCUUCUUGUUCUCUACUGCAGUGGAUUUUUUUUUUUUGGCGUUACCAUGACAACACUAUAUCUGGCUGCCAGCUCUGUCGUAAGUUAUUGAACUGAGACUGGCUUUUGGUUUAGCAGAUAAUUAGGUUCUGUCUCACAGGUUCAUUUUCCUGUGACUGGGACAUGAAUAUGACCUACAGCUGGCCUCAAUUUCAGUGUCACAGACAAAACUUUAACCCUUCCUAGUCCCGCCACUACUGUACCCACUGCAGUGGAUGGCGACAAUUCCAAACCCUUUCCCGGGGGUGCUGGACGCAGCACACCCUCCCAGGUCCUCAGGGCUGGUUGCCCAGGCUGUGUUAAUCCCCAGGGAGGAGGAGGAGGACAGUCCAGCUCGCACCCCCUUGCUGGGCGGGUGGGGAAAGGGUAUCGCUAGCACCAGAUGAAUAUUGAUUGUCUGGUAUGGAGAUUUGUCGGAAAGAUGGGAGGCAGCAUCCAGGAAAGUCUAACCCCAGUUAGAUGUGCUCAGGAUCAUAUUUUGCGAUAGAACAGCUAGUAGCUGGAGAAUUCUGACAUGAAAAUCCCAAGCAUCCCAGAUUUAGCAGAGCUCUUUGCUGUGGGGAAAGGAGACCAACAUGCUCACAACUCACUGAUUUGAGCAGGAGCUGAAAAACUAGGGAGAAAAAUCAUCCCACUCUGGCCAUGGUCACAGCAAGAGGACUUCAGCCCAAGGCAGCUGUGCUCUGCAGCUGGCCCUGAAGGGCAGCAGAGAGAAGGCACAGCCACCACACCCUGAGAGAGAAGGGUUUGCCACAGUCCCUGGCACCACUGGGAUGGCACGAGUGAGAUGCCAGCAGACAUCUCUGCAGGGUGCUAAGCUCAGCCCCAGCUGUCAGAAAUGCCUUCCAAGCCCUUUGGUCAAACAACAGGGGGUCUUAGAAGGUGUUAAAAGCACUGGCCAGCCUUCUGACCUAGGGUUGUAGAACAGCAUCACAGAGGAAAAUAUUCUGGUCCUGGUUUUUGGACGUCAGAGAAAAUAGAAAAUGAAGUUGUGGCUCAGGUUUAGUAGUUGGUUAUGCUAUUUGCACAUGCAAAACUCCAGAGGAAAAAAACCUAAGCAAAAUGAAAACAGAGAAUUGUAAAGCAAAGGCCUUUCCAUUCAAAGUUUUCCUCCAGAAUGCCAAACAAAGGUAACAACAUAACAACGUAACAAUUAUACAACCUGAAUAACUUUUCUAUCUUUAUUUCCUGUAAAUUCAAGUUGAUCCUUACACCUCACCUAAAUUCUGAUACAUCUCCUCUUGAUUUAUAUGAGAUUUUUAACCUCAUUUAUAUGAGGUUUUGCAAAACAAAUUUAAUUCCUAAUUGCUACUUGAUGGUGCUAUCUGUUGGUGUUUCUUCUCUUACUUUCUAGAUACCUGUUUGUUCUGGUGUUGCUGCCAAGACACCUUUUUUCCCAUGCCACCAAUCAUUUCAAUCCUUGUUUUAACACUGUAUCAUUUAUUAUUUCUUUCACAGUGCUUUCUUUUCUUUCUUUCAGUUUUAUUACUGUACAAUCUCCAAGAUAUCUAGCAGCUCUUGGGAUAGAUUAAAUAGAUAGAGCAUGGUGGACUGGAUGUCUAAGACUUAAUACUUUUUGUAGCUGCCAAUAGCUUUGAGCAUGUCAGUUUGUCAUUCAAUAUUUUUGUUUUUCUCUUCUCAUUUCUAGUAAUGCAUAUAGAGAUUUCCCCCUUUGGAGCAAAAUGCCAGGAUGCUCACAAGAGUUGUAUAGAUAGAAAAUGGUGCUGAUAGCAGCAAAAGAAGAAAGCUUUCAUCAUCCAAACAACAUGGACCUAAAGAUGUUGGAAACUAAAGGCCAAUUAUUCCCUGAGGUGCAUGGCGGGGCCAAUUCCACUGUAAUCAUUCUUGUGGUUGUGAAGGCAGAAGAGGACCUUGACUGCCUGUAACUGGACUUUGUCAGGCCAUUUGUUUGUGACCAGAGUUGUGUCAUUACUGUGGUUUUUCAAUACAAGGAUGUUCACUGAGGCAUCACAUUGAUAUUUUUGAAGUAUGUUCCACAUUUUCAAAGGAACGAAUUUAUCAGCAUAGAAUUGAAAUGUCUAGCUGCUUCAGUAUGCAAUUGACAUGCAAGGGCAUUCAUUUUUCACCUACUGGAUGUAAGGCAAUGAGACCCCCACUGGAUUGCUGCAUCCAGCCCUGGAGUCCCCGGCACAGGAAGGACAGAGACCUGUUGGACUGAGGCCACUAAGAUGAUGAGAGGGAUGGAGCAGCUCCCCUAGAAACAGCUGAGGGAUUUCAGAUUAUUCAGCUUGGAAAAGAGAAGUCUUCUGAGUGACCUAAUUGCAGCCUUCCAGUACCUGAAAGACAGAAAGAGACUAUUUACAAGGGCAUGGAGUGACAGGACAAGGGGGAAUGACCUCAAACUGACAGAGACUAGGUUUGGAUUAGAUAUUAGGAGGCAUGAUGAGGCCCUGGUACAGGUUGUCCAGAGGAAUUGUGGAUGCUCCAUCCAUGGAAGUCAUCCUGGACAGACUGGAUGGGGCUCUGAGCAACCUGGAGUAGUGGAAGGUGGCCCUGUCCUCAGCUAGGGGUUUGGAAUUUAGAUGAUCUUUGAGUCCCUUCCAACCCAAAUCAUUCUGUGAUUCUACAGUUUUCAACAAGUAAAGACAUGUUAAAGAAAAGAUGAUUAGGCCAAACCUUGUUCCUUUUUCCAAAGUAAUUAUGUGGGAAAUCUUGUCAGGCUUUAAUCUCUGAGUCCUGUACUAAACCAGCCCCUUGCAGGUAUUUUAAGUUUUUUGGUCUUUCUGCAAAAUAAGGCCUUUAGCAAAGACCAUUGGACCUUCCAUUAAGUACGUUCACAAAAUCGGAAGAGGGAUCCUGUUCUGGCUGACACAUGUGACUUUUCAGCCUGAGAGCUGAAAUGGCUUCUGCAGGACCAUCCAGCAACCAAGCUGAUUCCUUGGGCACUGAAUAUCUGGCAUCACUUGCUAAAUAUGCUAAAGAAAGCAAGGCUGAAGGUGUAUAGUUAUGCUGCAACAUCAAUUCCUCCUCUGGGAUGUAUGGAAAAUGGAUGAGUGAGCCCAGUCUGCCUCUUUGCUUUUGGUCCAGUUGGAGUAAUUGGUGCCUUUUUCUGCAGCAUUUCUCAGAAAAAAAAAAAAAAAAAAAAAAAAAGCAAGAAGGUAAAAGGAGGAAAAAUCUCUUCAUGGAGUGUUUUAUGCCUAGGAUCAAGACUUUUUGAAGGAUUUAACUCCUAAAUACAAAUGAAAUAUGCAAUCAACUAUAACAGCUAUCGGAAGAUGGAGGGAAAAAUGGAGAGGAGAGGGAAAGGGAAACACUUCCAGGGGAGGUGAUGCUGUUUGGAAAAAAUGUCUCUUACAGUUUGGCAUCUAGCUGUUAACAUACUCUUGCCAACCUGUGAGUUCAUUUGAGGUUUAUAGCAAGUUACAGGAAGAAUAAAAAGUUAAUCAUGUGCAGAGCCUUGGUGUUGUAUUCUUGCCAUCAAUUUCAAUAGCAGUAAUAACAUACAGACUGUGAAGAGAUUAAAGAAUGGCACAAGCUGCUUUCUACUUCAGCUUGUAAAUUUAUUUCCAUUGGAACUUUAAUUUGUGUGGUUUUCAUCCAAAUUUGAAGAGAUGAUGAUGUGAGGUCUAAAAACACUAUGGGUCUGGGGUCAGAUUCUUCUAUCAGUUUUUACGUGCAAUAGACAUGGGGAGUUUUCUCCCUCUAUCUAAAAACAGAGCAAUAUUUUAUUGAGGUCCAAACCCACAAAAAGAUAUAAAAGGAACAGUGGGGGAACUCAAUUAUGAAGAUGGUUACUUAACAGAAGACUUAACUACAUGUUGUAGCCUGUAUCUUUUUAACAAUCUCAACAGUUCCUAUUACAUAUUUUGGGGAUUUGAAGCUGAGGAAAUCUAUUGAAAUACUGUCUGAGCCUGGAUUAGCACUCCAGACUAAAGAUUAAUUUAAUUUUCUUUUAAGAGUUGUAAUUUUUUUCUUUCUUUUCAGUUUGUAACUAUGCUCUUUACUGUCAUCAGCUGAGAUAAAAGUUCUAAAUGCAUCGAAAAUUAUCAUUGACACUUACAAUGAAGAAAUAAGCUUCUCAAAAACAAAACAUGUACUCGGAAGUCUUUUCAGUGGAUUAAACUUUUUCCUUUCUAUUUCUGAAAUACUUUUGAGUGGCAAUCACUUCUCUGAAAAUCUGCAUUUUUUUGUUGUUUACAGCUGCAAAUUGGACAGAGAUGUUUUGUUCUUUGCUUUCAUACUAUACAAAAGGUGUGGCAAAUUUUACUCAUGGCAUAUAUGUACCAUUAGCUACAUUCAUAUCUUUAUUAGCAUAUUAACAUGCAUUUGAGUUAUCCUGAUAUAUUGUAAACACAGUGGAUCUGAGGUAUCUAACAGCAUAUAAGGAUUUAUUAUUUUAUUUAAAGGAUGCAAAAUGCAGCAAAAACUUGCUGUAGGUGAGUAAUCCUACUUAUCAGAGAUGAAUUUUAACAACGGCAGUUCACAAAUUUCUGCUGUCCUUUGGGGAAAACAAAGAAAUUGAUUGUAGAAAAAAUGUUGUCUUUGCAUUCCUUUACUUCUUGUCAUUUUUUCUUUGUUUGAUGUAUCAGUUUCUUGUAUAAUGCUUUCUCCCCUUGUUUAUCAAAGUUACUAAUUUAUGUUCUAUUGAUGCACAGCAGUUCUUUAAGCUUAGACUUAGUACUUGGCUGUCAGUAAGAAAGAUGAGAAGCAAAAGUGUGAAGGAUUUUUCCAGGGUAAGUCCAGAUUUACAGCCACAUUUCCAAGUGGAGAACUUAGGCAGGUAUAAAAAGUUGGAUUGCAGAAAAGUAGAACAACUAUUACUUUUUCUUGGGAGACAAUAUAAUUAGAUUUACGUGUUUAAUAUAGUUAUUAAGAUUGGUUAAUAUUCAACUACUUUGAUUUGUUCAACUAUUUCACUACAUAAAAUAGUCAGAUUUUGUGAUCUGUUUGGGUUUUGUCUUGCCAGCUGCCCUGCCUCUUUCCCUUCCCUUUGCUCCUCUUGCCUCAUUUGCAGUGUUAUUCUAGAUAUGGGAGUGAAAGUUUCCUAAUUAUCUUAACUUAUCCCAUUUGGAAGAUUUUUCUCAAAAUGCUAGUUAUUUGGCUUUUAACCUUGGGUUAUUUGUAAUGGUUGAACCCCUGCUCCCUUUCUUUUUUUUUCUUUUGUUUUUUUUUUUUUUAAAGAAAGUGUAAAAUUUGUUCAACAGUGCUAAGGUCUAGUCUAACCUAAGUUUACCAAGAUUUCUGGACACAUCUAAUAUUGUUUGUGUGUAUGUACCCUUCUUAUAUGCAUGGAGAUUAAGCUGGCCUUACUACAGUACUGAUCUGCACUAGAAAUAUGUUGUCUGUAGGUACCAGCAUGCUAAGGUUCUAAAAAGAGUUGGUUGAUAAUUUGAAUUUCAACAGGCAAGACAAGGGAGAGAAAACAUUAAAAUUUUGUGAAAUAGCUUAUCUUCUUCAGUGUUGUUACUUAAAAAAUUAAAACUUGAAUCUUGAUGCUUCUUUCCAUUCCCCCAAGAAAAUUUUAUACUUCAAGAAUGGCCUGAAGGCUUAGUAAGAGUUUAGUAAGAAUGUAGGAAGGUCACCAUCUUUCUUGAUGAAGGUUUAUCUCAUAAAUUUCUGCCUCAUUCUUCAAAAUAAGGAGGGAGUUCUCUGUCUAGGUCUGUGAUUUACACAUACAUUGAUUUUACAUUCAUCUAAACUAGAAUGUGGCGCCUGUCAGUUGUUUCCUGGAUGCCAGUGUGGUUAUAUUCCUGACCCAAAGGGAAGGCACGUGGAUUCCUUGUAGUUCCAGCACUGCAGGUAGAAAUAUUAAGGGUAUGAUUUCACUUAUUUGAAGUUACCAAAAAUGCUGGAAGAAGGAGUCAAUGCCAAAUAGAUAGGCUAUUUAAUUUUGUUUAUUUUCUCUCCUAGAAGAUUGGUUACAUCAAUAAGAAAUGCUGAAAACCUGUGUUUGAAAGAAGCAACUGUUAUGGAGUCAGAAAAAAGUAAAGUAGAGAUUGUCUGAGUUCCCUGAAAUCUUGACUGAUAGAUAAAUAUGAGGUGAGCUGCAGUGACAGUGGUGAGAAAGCUGACUUUCAGAAGUAAAACACACUAGACUAUUCUUUCAGUGGUAGAGGAAUGUCUGCAUUUUUCUCAUAAAUUUCUUGGGGGAAAAAAAAAACAUUUUGUGCAUGCUGUACUCAGUUUGAAUUUACACAAUUAAAUGUGCAAAAUUAAAUAAAUUUUAAAAAUAAUAUUUCUAUACUAGUAUGUUGCCAUGACAGUAUUUCUCCUGGUAUAUACUUGAAUGUAAUAGUAAUAAUACUGUACAGUGCUGUAUAUUUAUGUAUUAUACAUAUUCAUUUUUUCUACAUUGACUAUGUCGAAUAAUUUGGCUUUUGUAAUUUAUUUUGCUAAAAGAUACACUGUUUUAUGUCUAUUAAUGGAUGUACAUACAAUUUACUAAAACUAUUUCUUUCUGAUUUUUAACUUCUGCUGAAACCAUAGCAUAAUCAUAGUAUGUAGAGAGUAAUAUCCUUGCACAUCCUGAGGCCUUAGCUGGCAGAGUUGUCAAAUUAAACUGGAACAUUUUGUAAGUGUAUCUUUAAUAAAUACAUAUGUCUGUCAUGCUUCCCUA